AUGCACGCUGGCGGCGUGCCUCAUACAUGCCAGUCGAGCGAACAGACGAGGAGCUUGCUCCUCUGACGUUAGCGGCGGACGGGUGAGUAACACGUGGAUAACCUACCUAUAAGACUGGGAUAACUUCGGGAAACCGGAGCUAAUACCGGAUAACAUGUUGAACCGCAUGGUUUAACAGUGAAAGACGGUCUUGCUGUCACUUAUAGAUGGAUCCGCGCCGCAUUAGCUAGUUGGUAAGGUAACGGCUUACCAAGGCAACGAUGCGUAGCCGACCUGAGAGGGUGAUCGGCCACACUGGAACUGAGACACGGUCCAGACUCCUACGGGAGGCAGCAGUAGGGAAUCUUCCGCAAUGGGCGAAAGCCUGACGGAGCAACGCCGCGUGAGUGAAGAAGGUCUUCGGAUCGUAAAACUCUGUUAUUAGGGAAGAACAAAUGUGUAAGUAACUAUGCACGUCUUGACGGUACCUAAUCAGAAAGCCACGGCUAACUACGUG
rnacentral:rRNA from 1 species